UUCAUGGCUCACCUGGUGGUUAAAGCUUCCGCCUCAGAUGCGAUAUAUCGUGGGUUCGAUCCCCGGUCACCCGGUCGAAG